rnacentral:rRNA from 1 species
UCCUACGGGAGGCAGCAGUGGGGAAUAUUGGACAAUGGGGGAAACCCUGAUCCAGCCAUGCCGCGUGUGUGAAGAAGGCCUUCGGGUUGUAAAGCACUUUAAGCGGGGAGGAAGGGCUGAGGGUUAAUAACCUUCAGCAUUGACGUUACCCGCAGAAUAAGCACCGGCUAACUCUGUGCCAGCAGCCGCGGUAAUACAGAGGGUGCAAGCGUUAAUCGGAAUUACUGGGCGUAAAGCGCGCGUAGGUGGUUAUGUAAGUUGGAUGUGAAAGCCCCGGGCUUAACCUGGGAAUGGCAUUCAAAACUGCAGGGCUAGAGUACGGGAGAGGGGGGUAGAAUUCCAGGUGUAGCGGUGAAAUGCGUAGAGAUCUGGAGGAAUACCGAUGGCGAAGGCAGCCCCCUGGCCUGAUACUGACACUGAGGUGCGAAAGCAUGGGGAGCAAACAGGAUUAGAUACCCUGGUAGUCCAUGCCGUAAACGAUGUCGGACUAGGUGUUGGGGAACUUGAUUCCUUAGUGGCGCCGCUCACGCAUUUGAAGGACAUACUGUGAACACUUUUUGU